AUGGUUUCCCCCUUAGAUGAUCGCAAUGCUGUUACUAAUGCUACUUCCCUUGUUAAUGCUACUACAUUGCCAAUACAGGGAAGCACUCUUACAACUGAUCUUCUUGUUGAUGGUGCAAAAAUCUAUUAUGAUGCUUCUUUUAGGUGCUCAAAAGUUCCAGGUUUACCAAAUGGUAGUGUUGCCACGGGCAUUGGUGUCUUUCUCACAUUCGUUCAAGGCAACAAGAACGUUGACGUACAGGUCCAAGCCUCAGCCCCGACCACUACUUCGCCCAUUCAAGCAAAGCGCUCGCUCUUCUUCUUGCAGCCAAAAUUGCCCAACUAUUGCAGGUGGCACAACCAACUUUCCUGA
rnacentral:rRNA from 1 species